rnacentral:rRNA from 1 species
GAUGAACGCUGGCGGCGUGCCUAAUACAUGCAAGUCGAACGCGAUAGUUUACUAUCGAGUGGCGAACGGGUGAGUAAUACAUAAGUAACCUGCCCUAGACAGGGGGAUAACUAUUGGAAACGAUAGCUAAUACCGCAUAGGUGCAGACACUGCAUGGUGACUGCAUUAAAGAUGCUUACAAGCAUCGGUAGAGGAUGGACUUAUGGCGCAUUAGCUAGUUGGUAGGGUAAAGGCUUACCAAGGCGACGAUGCGUAGCCGACCUGAGAGGGUAACCGGCCACACUGGGACUGAGACACGGCCCAAACUCCUACGGGAGGCAGCAGUAGGGAAUCUUCCACAAUGGACGAAAGUCUGAUGGAGCAACGCCGCGUGAGUGAAGAAGGGUUUCGGCUCGUAAAACUCUGUUGUUAAAGAAGAACAGGUGUAAGAGUAACUGUUUACACCGUGACGGUAUUUAACCAGAAAGCCACGGCUAACUACGUGCCAGCAGCCGCGGUAAUAC